CUGAUCGCAGCUGGCAGGACUGGGGGCGGGGGGCGGGCUCGGCCUCGGCACACCGUGAUUGGGCGCGGGUGGGUGCGGGGCCUCUGUGCCCGGAACCCCCGCCUCCAGCCCCCAGAGGCUUCCCUUACACCCGCCAGCAAAGAGAGGCGAGAACUGAGGUGCAGAGCAGCUUAAGGAAUCUUAAUUCUCCAACCAAGGAUUGAACUGGGGCCACUGCAGUCAAAGAGCAGAGUCCUAACCACUGGCCCGCCACGAAGUUCCUGAGAGGCAUCUUUCAAGUGUAUAACGGCUAAGCCCCCUGAGAUCUAGAAUCAGAUCUGUGCCAACUUGGUAGCCCAGUGACAGUGGAUUUUCAGCAAACGGUUGUUGAGAACAAGUGCGUGAAGGCAUGAGCAUGUCUCUGCUCCAUCCAGACUUUGAUGCUCCAUGUGCGGUGUUAGGAGGGGCAGCAGCUCCACCUCGGAUCAUCAGGCAUUGGAUCCCAGAGGUUGGGGACCCCUGCUUUAGACCACUCAGGAUGCACAUGCCAAGUCCUGGGGACAGAGCGUGAACAAGGGGACAAGACGCCUGCCCGCAGCGGGCUGACAGUCUAGAGGGGUAGGAGGGAAACACGAAGACACAUUGAUAAAUACGUUAUGAAAUAUAAUUUCAGAGCCAGAUAAAUGCUCUAGCGAGUGAUGUGAUGGAGACUAAUGGAAGGGUGGGCUGGGGGUUGUGUGAGAGAGGAGGUCAGGGCAGCACAUGCUGUGAGGAUGCAGAGAAGCCCGUCAAGGAAAAGCAUUGUGGGGGUGGGGAACAGUCAAGGCAAAGGCUUGAGGUGGGAUGGAAGAGACCAGGGAGGCGGGGAGGGGAAGAUGUGGUAAAGGAGGGGCCCAAGGGGUGGACCACCCUGGUGAGCAUGUCAGCUGGGGAGGCCUGACAAGGGUGAGACCUGGCGAUGGGCUUCGUUCCCCAGACCUACCAGAAUCUCCCUUCUUGCUCAGCUGGAAACCCCCUCCCCCGGAGUUCCCUAUUUUAGCCCUUUCUAGCCUUUCUGCCUCCUUCACCCCCAUAACAGGUACUCCCUGGGCUGGAAUUUCCCCAAGAUGCGCAGUCAGGGAGGGGAAAUAACACCCAUCAUUGUCAAGACCAUCAGUGCUGGGAUCUCCUAACCCAGUGCCCUGGCCCCUGCUGGGUGCGCUGUGACUUGGGCCCUCGGCUCCUCACAAGGGGACCCUUCAGGUUUUACGGUCCCCAUUCUACAGACCAGGAGACCCAGACGCAGUGUGACUGGCUCAAGGCCAUGUGGCCCAAAAGCAGGAGCCAAGAUUUAAAUGCAGCUCAGUCUCAUCCUGAAAGUCAAAGUGUUAGUCGCUCAGUCGAGUCCGACUCUUUGUGACCCAGGUGGACUGUCCAUGCGAAUCCUCCAGGGCAGAAUACUGGAGUGGGUUGCUGUUCCUUUCUCUAGGGAAUCUUCUUGACUCAGGGAUCGAACUCAGGUCUCCCGCAUGGAGGGCAGUUUCUUUAUCAUCUGAGCCACCAGGGAAGCCCUAGUCUCAUGCUAAAGCUUGGGCAGAGCCUACUCAAGUCUCGCGAGAGUUUCAGGAUCCCAGGAGAUCCAGAUUCCUCCGCCUCUUUCCUACCUGCCUUGCUUCACUGCCGCCAUGUGGGUAAGUGUUGCCGCCAGUUUCCCAGUUGCUGAAGCAGACACCCCAGAGUCAUUCUGAGCCCUUGGCUGCCCGCCUCUACCAGGGGCUGGUCGCGAAAUGCCCCUUAUGGGCUCUGUUGCAGCUUUAACACCCAGCAUAUCUGACUAGUGGUUCUCUCUCCCUCUUGAGACAAAAAAAAAAAAAAAAAAAAGAGGAAAUUAAAUUGUGGCAGGUUAUCAUUGAUCUAGAGAAAGCCGCACAAGGUCUGUGGUCACCUUUUUUUUAAAGAUACACGUCACACGAUUGCGCUAAGUGCAGUGGGUAGGCGACCAGGCCAGCCGGCUGAUCUCUGGUGUCCCUAAAGAAUACCUCAGGCCCCGGCGGCUGACGGUGCCCACCCAGAGGGGCUCUGGGGAGGUGGGGGCCCUCACAGCCCACCCCCUUCUGCGGGAGAAGCCAUAGAGGGCUCAGAGUCACUGCUGCCCCUCCUUGUCCUCUUUGGGGGCAAUAAUCUGAAACUGUGGUGAUGGAUGCAUAACUCCAUGAAGACACAAAACCACUGAAUUGUACUCUUUAAUGGGGAAUCACGUGGUAUGUGAAUUACAACUCAAUUUAUCUAGUUAAAAAAAGAAAAAAAGAACAACAAACACAAGU